rnacentral:rRNA from 1 species
UAGCGGGGGGGGCGAAGCGUUGUUCGGAAUUACUGGGCGUAAAGGGCUCGUAGGUGGCCAACUAAGUCGGACGUGAAAUCCCCAGGCUCAACUUGGGAACUGCGUCCGAUACUGGAUGGCUUGAAUUCGGGAGAGGGAUGCAGAAUUCCUGGUGUAGAGGUGAAAUUCGUAGAUAUCAAGAGGAACACCAGUGGCGAAGGCGAGUCCCUGGACAACACCUGACACUGAGGCACGAAAGCUAGGGGAGCAAACAGG